UUGCUUUUGCAGCAUAUAUAAUAAAAUUGGAAUGAUAAAGGGAAGAUUAGCAUGGCCCCUGUGCAAGGAUGACAUGUAAAUUUGCGAAGCAUUUCAUAGUUUU